rnacentral:rRNA from 1 species
UACGUAGGGGGCAAGCGUUGUCCGGAAUUAUUGGGCGUAAAGAGCGCGUAGGCGGUCCGAUAAGUCGGCUGUGAAAGUCAGGGGCUCAACCCUUGAAAGCCGGCCGAUACUGUCGGACUAGAGUCCGGAAGAGGCAAGUGGAAUUCCCGGUGUAGCGGUGAAAUGCGCAGAUAUCAAGAGGAACACCUGAGGUGAAGACGGGUUGCUGGGCCAACACUGACGCUGAGGCGCGAAAGCCAGGGGAGCAAACGGG